UACGUAGGUGGCAAGCGUUACUCGGAAUCACUAGGCGUAAAGCGCAGGUAGGAGGUUUGGAAAGUCUGUUGUGAAAGCUCCCGGCUUAACUGGGAGAGGUCAACGGAAACUACCAGGCUAGAGUGCGGUAGAGGGUAGCUGGAAUUCCCGGUGUAGCGGUGAAAUGCGUAGAUAUCGGGAGGAAUACCUAUGGCGAAAGCAGGCUACUGGACCGUCACUGACUCUGAUCUGCGAAGCUAGGGGAGCAAACAGG
rnacentral:rRNA from 1 species